rnacentral:rRNA from 1 species
CAGCCCGAAACUCAAAAGACCUGGCGGUACCCUACACCAACCUAGAGGAGCCUGUGCCGGAAUCGAUAACCCGCGAUAAACCUUACCACCUCUUGCAACUCCAGCCUGUAUACCGCCGUCGUCAGCCCGUCUCACAAGAGAGCGGAGCAAGACAACCUCCCCCAUAAAAACGACAGGUCAAGGUGCAGCUUAUGAAGUGGAGCGCAUGGGCUACAAUGCCAACCACUGGCUCAAACGGACCCAAGCUGAACUUGAACCUUGGACAAAGUCGGAUUUAGUAGUAAGAUCAACAAGAACGUUGAUCUGAAUACACGCGCUGGGGUACGC